GGGGCCGUAGCUCAGUUGGGAGAGCGCGUCGUUCGCAAUGACGAGGUCAGGGGUUCGACUCCCCUCGGCUCCACCA
rnacentral:tRNA from 1 species